GACGAACGCUGGCGGCGUGCUUAACACAUGCAAGUCGAACGAUGAAGCCUAGCUUGCUAGGUGGAUUAGUGGCGAACGGGUGAGUAAUACGUGAGUGACCUACCUUUGACUCUGGGAUAAGCCUGGGAAACUGGGUCUAAUACCGGAUACGACCAAUCUCCGCAUGGGGUGUUGGUGGAAAGCGUUAUGGAGUGGUUUUAGAUGGGCUCACGGCCUAUCAGCUUGUUGGUGAGGUAAUGGCUUACCAAGGCGACGACGGGUAGCCGGCCUGAGAGGGUGAACGACCACACUGGGACUGAGACACGGCCCAGACUCCUACGGGAGGCAGCAGUGGGGAAUAUUGCACAAUGGGCGCAAGCCUGAUGCAGCGACGCCGCGUGAGGGAUGACGGCCUUCGGGUUGUAAACCUCUGUUAGCAUCGAAGAAGCGAAAGUGACGGUAGGUGCAGAGAAAGCGCCGGCUAACUACGUG
rnacentral:rRNA from 1 species